UGGGGUGGAGCUUAGUGGUACAGCGCUUGUCUAGUAUGCACAAGGCCCUGGGUUCCACCCCCAGCACUGCAA
rnacentral:tRNA from 1 species